GUUGAAUAUUGAUAGUUUUGAUGUUUUUUAUUGGUAUUGUAAAUAUGAUAGUAUAUGGUCGGUGAUGAAGGCGAUAAACCCUAGUGAAAAUCUGAGAUUUUAUGAAACUGGGUUUAAUUUUUUAUUUAGAUUUAUAUUUAUGUUUGAAAAAUUACAGAGAAAAUCUGAGAAAAAAAUUAUUGUCAAAUCUGGUGUCAUCUCUCCUGCGACAGUAGAGGAAUUUUGGAAGUGGAAACGAUGAGUGAAGAGAAUGUGAAAGGGUCGCCGUAUAGGCGGCAUCAGAAUGAGGAUUUGGAAGCUGGAAGUAGUAGCAAGUCUAUUGAUGAUGAUUGUGGAAGUCCUUUUGAUAUUCCAAGGACUAAGAGUGCACCUAUUGAUCGGUUGAAAAGGUGGAGGCAAGCUGCACUUGUCCUUAAUGCUUCUCGUCGAUUUCGA
rnacentral:misc_RNA from 1 species